AGUGAACGCUGGCGGCAGGCCUAACACAUGCAAGUCGAGCGGCAGCGCGGGGGCAACUCUGGCGGCGAGCGGCGGACGGGUGAGGAAUUCGUCGGAAUCUGCCUUUUUGUGGGGGAUAACGUAGGGAAACUUACGCUAAUACCGCAUACGUCCUACGGGAGAAAGUGGGGGACCGCAAGGCCUCACGCAGAAAGAUGAGCCGACGACCGAUUAGCUAGUUGGUGGGGUAAAGGCCCACCAAGGCGACGAUCGGUAGCUGGUCUGAGAGGAUGAUCAGCCACACUGGGACUGAGACACGGCCCAGACUCCUACGGGAGGCAGCAGUGGGGAAUAUUGGACAAUGGGCGCAAGCCUGAUCCAGCCAUGCCGCGUGUGUGAAGAAGGCCUUCGGGUUGUAAAGCACUUUUGUCCGGAAAGAAAUCCCUGGAGCUAAUACCUUCGGGGGAUGACGGUACCGGAAGAAUAAGCACCGGCUAACUUCGUG
rnacentral:rRNA from 1 species